rnacentral:rRNA from 14 species
AGUGUCAAAAGGGCGUUUAGUGGAUGCCUUGGCAUGUAGAGGCGAUGAAGGACGUGGCACGCUGCGAUAAGCGUCGGGGAGUUGUGAGCAAACUUUGAUCCGGCGAUUUCCGAAUGGGGAAACCCACCUUCACCAUUUCUUCCAGUAUCCUU